rnacentral:rRNA from 1 species
UCGAGAAUUUUUCUCAAUGGGCGAAAGCCUGAAGGAGCGACGCCGCGUGGGGGAUGAAUGGCUUCGGCCCGUAAACCCCUGUCAUUUGUGAACAAAUUGCUUCACCUAACACGUGAAGCAUUGAUUGUAACGGAAGAGGAAGGGACGGCUAACUCUGUGCCAGCAGCCGCGGUAAUACAGAGGUCCCAAGCGUUGUUCGGAUUCACUGGGCGUAAAGGGUGCGUAGGCGGUUUGAUAAGUCUGAUGUGAAAUCCCGCAGCUUAACUGCGGAACUGCAUUGGAAACUAUUUGACUAGAGGAAUGGAGGGGAGACUGGAAUACUUGGUGUAGCAGUGAAAUGCGUAGAUAUCAAGUGGAACACCAGUGGCGAAGGCGAGUCUCUGGACAUUUCCUGACGCUGAGGCACGAAAGCCAGGGGAGCAAACGGGAUUAGAUACCCCCGUAGUCC